UACUGAUCAUACUGAUGCCAGCAAGCUGGGUCGAAGGACCCCAAGGGGAUCCCACAGGAUCAGCGGAAAGGGUCCUUGGAUUGACAGAGAAUGGAAAACAAAUGUAAGCCAGCAGGAGGUAUCCAGGAAGUAGGUGUCAUUCCUUGGAGUCAGGGAGUCUUGGUGCUGAAAUGUCUAUGUCUCGUGGUCUGGGAUGUGCAUUAUGAUAGCUUCCACAAUUCUCACCUGAGACAGAGUUGUGGAGGGGCAAAGAGAG